AUACAGACACUAAAUAGCCUGAGCACCUUUGAAAAAAUGGUAGUCGCAUAAUGGCGGAUUCAAAUAGUUCUCAGUUUUUUUUGCUGUAAGAAGGAUUUUUCCUUGAAAUCAUUGCUAUAUAUUGGUUGAAAUCAUAUUGCAUGCCUAUACUUGAUAUACUGGUAGCAUUUGCAUGUUGAAAAAAGACUCCAAACUGAUUUAACAUGUGAAAUUUAUUCAUACACCCCUACCCUAAAUUGUGAUUGUCAUUUCAGUGUAAAAAUUACGGUGUGUCCGUUUGACCAGAAAUAUUUUUCUUGCAUCAAACAUGACCCCUACUUUUCUUUGGAUAUUUUUACAGUAUAAAUGUUAUUCUACAAGAAAAUAGUUAAACAUUUCCUGUAGCAGCUUAGGACAGUACAGUUUGUGAGUUAACAGAUCAGGGUGAGCCUCAGUGUUUCCUGGUGUACUGUACUCAUCCGCCAACUUAGGACAGCUGUUUAGUGAUCGCAGAGGUGCAACACCCGUUUCAGAGCCAUUUACAUCAUUUAGUGAGGAUUCCUGUGUCUGACAGUACUGAACCUGAGGAAUUUCACACAUUUUUGAGCAGAGACCAGGUGUGCAGUAUCAACACCUUUUUAGUUACAUUUUGACAUGAAUUGUUGGAGAGAACUUGAAUACCAUGGCCAUGAGAUAUGACUUUAGCUAUAGAAUGCAAAAAUAUGCAGUAUUGUUGCAUUUGUGAUGAAAAGAAAGACAAUUUUCCCAUUUUUUACUGAAAAAUAAGCUUUUUUUUAACCAAAAAAAAUUCACUAAACACUAAUUUUGUUCUAUAUUUUAUCACAGUUGCAUAAUUAUAAGUUUUUUUCAGUGUAGUUGUCUAUUCCGCACUUGCUGGUGGUAUAUUUGAUGUAAUAUCUUACGGGUUUUUUGAAAAAAACAGCGUUUAAUGACUAUAUGUGAUUCAGCCAAAUUUAACGGCUUAAACCGCAGU